rnacentral:rRNA from 1 species
AGUGAACGCUGGCGGUAGGCCUAACACAUGCAGGUCGAACGGCAGCACAGUAAGAGCUUGCUCUUACGGGUGGCGAGUGGCGGACGGGUGAGGAAUACAUCGGAAUCUACUUUUUCGUGGGGGAUAACGUAGGGAAACUUACGCUAAUACCGCAUACGACCUACGGGUGAAAGCAGGGGAUCUUCGGACCUUGCGCGAUUGAAUGAGCCGAUGUCGGAUUAGCUAGUUGGCGGGGUAAAGGCCCACCAAGGCGACGAUCCGUAGCUGGUCUGAGAGGAUGAUCAGCCACACUGGAGCUGAGACACGGUCCAGACUCCUACGGGAGGCAGCAGUGGGGAAUAUUGGACAAUGGGCGCAAGCCUGAUCCAGCCAUACCGCGUGGGUGAAGAAGGCCUUCGGGUUGUAAAGCCCUUUUGUUGGGAAAGAAAAGCAGCAGGUUAAUACCCCGCUGUUCUGACGGUACCCAAAGAAUAAGCACCGGCUAACUUCGUG